GAUGAACGCUGGCGGCGUGCCUAAUACAUGCCAGUCGAGCGAACAGACGAGGAGCUUGCUCCUCUGACGUUAGCGGCGGACGGGUGAGUAACACGUGGAUAACCUACCUAUAAGACUGGGAUAACUUCGGGAAACCGGAGCUAAUACCGGAUAACAUGUUGAACCGCAUGGUUCAACAGUGAAAGACGGUCUUGCUGUCACUUAUAGAUGGAUCCGCGCCGCAUUAGCUAGUUGGUAAGGUAACGGCUUACCAAGGCAACGAUGCGUAGCCGACCUGAGAGGGUGAUCGGCCACACUGGAGCUGAGACACGGUCCAGACUCCUACGGGAGGCAGCAGUAGGGAAUCUUCCGCAAUGGGCGAAAGCCUGACGGAGCAACGCCGCGUGAGUGAAGAAGGUCUUCGGAUCGUAAAACUCUGUUAUUAGGGAAGAACAAAUGUGUAAGUAACUAUGCACGUCUUGACGGUACCUAAUAAGAAAGCCACGGCUAACUACGUG
rnacentral:rRNA from 1 species